ACUACGGGUGGCAGCAGUGGGGGAUAUUGCACAAUGGGGGGAACCCUGAUGCAGCGACGCCGCGUGGGUGAAGGAGUGCUUCGGCAUGUAAAGCCCUAUCGGCAGGGAAGAAGCAAGACGUUACCUGACUAAGAAGCCCCGGCGAACUACGUGCCAGCAGCCGCGGUAAUACGGAGGAGGCGAUCGUUAUCCGGAUUAAUUGGGUGUAAAGGGAGCGUAGACGGCGCUGAAAGUCCGGAGUGAAAGCCCAGGGCUUAACCAUGGUACUGCUCUGGAAACUGUGGAGCUUGAGUGCGGGAGGGGCAGGGGGAAUUCCUAGUGUAGCGGUGAAAUGCGUAGAUAUUAGGAGGAACACCGGCGGCGAAGGCGGCCUGCUGGACCGUAACUGACGUUGAGGCUCGAAAGCGUGGGGAGCAAACAGGAUUAGAUACCCCUGUAGUC
rnacentral:rRNA from 1 species